UACAGAGGUCUCAAGCGUUGUUCGGAUUCAUUGGGCGUAAAGAGCUCGUAGGCGGCUGUUCAAGUCGAACGUGAAAACUCGGGGCUCAACUCCGAGCCUGCGUUCGAUACGGGCAGACUAGAGUUCGGCAGGGGAGACUGGAAUUCCUGGUGUAGCGGUGAAAUGCGUAGAUAUCGUAAGGAAGACCAGUGGCGAAGGCGGGUCUCUGGACAGUUCCUGACGCUGAGGCACGAAGGCCAGGGGAGCAAACGGG
rnacentral:rRNA from 1 species